CCUGAACUCAUCAAAAUGCAAUAUUUUAAACACGUUUUUUACACUCAACUGUGUGUGUAUCACAAACGCCUGCCACGUAAUUUUAAAAAUAAUUAUAAAAUGACACGUAUGAUUAUAAAAUGACACAUGUAUAUAUGGUCACUCCAUGUCAUUUUUCCUUUUAUUAUAUUUGAUUAAUAUACCUACACUUUCUCUUUCCAAUUUUUAUUUCUCUUUGCCAUUGCCAUCUGCAUCUCCAUCCCCAUCUCAUUUCAACUUUUUCUUAUCUUCCUUACCCUUUUCCUUUUUCCAACCUCUUCUACUCUUUCCAUUGAAGUAAAAAAUGUUGGCACGAUUUCUGGUUGUUCACAAUCUCGUUGGAGUUCGGAGUUGAUUUUGGGUUAUGUUGGAUUGGGGUUUUGGUGGUGACCGGUGGCGCUAAGGAAAAGUGGGGGUCUAUUGAGUGGUCUGAUUGUUUCUAGUUGUUCACAACGGCGGCGUUGUGAAAGUCGAGCGUAGUUUGGUCGGAGAAGGUGAGGAGGACGAGAAGAAGGCAAUAAGUUUGGGUUUGGUUUGGAACUGAAACAAGGGGUCAAUGUCAAAAAUUAUUUGAGUUUUUUUGUUUGAUUUUCAACUUAUCUUGGUAGGUUUUUCAAUUUAUUUUCGAAUUUAUUUGUUAUUUAGUUUGGAUUUGAUCUCUAUUUGUGUCUUUGUUUGGUUUUGGGGUUUUAAUCAAUUACAUUGACUUUGUUGAAAUUCUUUGGGGAUUUUGCAUUUUUGUGCCUAAUGUUAGUGUAAGAUAUUUCGGUAGUAGUGUUAUGC
rnacentral:lncRNA from 1 species